AGAACGAACGCUGGCGGCAUGCCUAAUACAUGCAAGUCGAACGAAGGCUUCGGCCUUAGUGGCGCACGGGUGCGUAACGCGUGGGAAUCUGCCCCUUGGUUCGGAAUAACAGUUGGAAACGACUGCUAAUACCGGAUGAUGACGAAAGUCCAAAGAUUUAUCGCCAAGGGAUGAGCCCGCGUAGGAUUAGCUAGUUGGUGAGGUAAAGGCUCACCAAGGCGACGAUCCUUAGCUGGUCUGAGAGGAUGAUCAGCCACACUGGGACUGAGACACGGCCCAGACUCCUACGGGAGGCAGCAGUAGGGAAUAUUGGACAAUGGGCGAAAGCCUGAUCCAGCAAUGCCGCGUGAGUGAUGAAGGCCUUAAGGGUUGUAAAGCUCUUUUACCCGAGACGAUAAUGACAGUAUCGGAGAAUAAGCCCCGGCUAACUACCGUGCCAGCAGCCCGC
rnacentral:rRNA from 1 species